AGUGAACGCUGGCGGUAGGCCUAACACAUGCAAGUCGAACGGCAGCACAGUAAGAGCUUGCUCUUACGGGUGGCGAGUGGCGGACGGGUGAGGAAUACAUCGGAAUCUACUUUUUCGUGGGGGAUAACGUAGGGAAACUUACGCUAAUACCGCAUACGACCUACGGGUGAAAGCAGGGGAGCUUCGGACCUUUCGCGAUUGAAUGAGCCGAUGUCGGAUUAGCUAGUUGGCGGGGUAAAGGCCCACCAAGGCGACGAUCCGUAGCUGGUCUGAGAGGAUGAUCAGCCACACUGGAACUGAGACACGGUCCAGACUCCUACGGGAGGCAGCAGUGGGGAAUAUUGGACAAUGGGCGAAAGCCUGAUCCAGCCAUACCGCGUGGGUGAAGAAGGCCUUCGGGUUGUAAAGCCCUUUUGUUGGGAAAGAAAAGCAGCAGGUUAAUACCCCGCUGUUCUGACGGUACCCAAAGAAUAAGCACCGGCUAACUUCGUG
rnacentral:rRNA from 1 species